AGUGAACGCUGGCGGUAGGCCUAACACAUGCAAGUCGAACGGCAGCACAGUAAGAGCUUGCUCUUACGGGUGGCGAGUGGCGGACGGGUGAGGAAUACAUCGGAAUCUACUUUUUCGUGGGGGAUAACGUAGGGAAACUUACGCUAAUACCGCAUACGACCUACGGGUGAAAGCAGGGGAUCUUCGGACCUUGCGCGAUUGAAUGAGCCGAUGUCGGAUUAGCUAGUUGGCGGGGUAAAGGCCCACCAAGGCGACGAUCCGUAGCUGGUCUGAGAGGAUGGUCAGCCACACUGGAACUGAGACACGGUCCAGACUCCUACGGGAGGCAGCAGUGGGGAAUAUUGGACAAUGGGCGCAAGCCUGAUCCAGCCAUACCGCGUGGGUGAAGAAGGCCUUCGGGUUGUAAAGCCCUUUUGUUGGGAAAGAACAGCAGCAGGUUAAUACCCCGCUGUUCUGACGGUACCCAAAGAAUAAGCACCGGCUAACUUCGUG
rnacentral:rRNA from 1 species